rnacentral:tRNA from 1 species
GGCGUCGAGCAGCCCGGCAGCUCGCGUCGCUCAUAACCGCGAGGUCGUAGCUCGAAUCCUGUACCGCAACCA